rnacentral:rRNA from 1 species
AUUUUCGGCAAUGGGGGGAACCCUGACCGAGCAACGCCGCGUGAGUGAUGAAGUAUUUCGGUAUGUAAAGCUCUAUCAGCAGGGAAGAAAAUGACGGUACCUGACUAAGAAGCCCCGGCUAACUACGUGCCAGCAGCCGCGGUAAUACGUAGGGGGCAAGCGUUAUCCGGAUUUACUGGGUGUAAAGGGAGCGUAGACGGCUGUGCAAGUCUGGAGUGAAAGCCCGGGGCUCAACCCCGGGACUGCUUUGGAAACUGUACGGCUGGAGUGCUGGAGAGGCAAGCGGAAUUCCUAGUGUAGCGGUGAAAUGCGUAGAUAUUAGGAGGAACACCAGUGGCGAAGGCGGCUUGCUGGACUGUAACUGACGUUGAGGCUCGAAAGCGUGGGGAGCAAAC